rnacentral:rRNA from 1 species
UAGUAGUUAGGGAGUUGUAGUUGGUAGCUUGCUAUCAGCUGCAAUUUUUUGGCUAUUUUCUGAACUGAGUGGCAAACGGGUGAGUAAUACAUGAACAAUCUGCCUUUAAGAGGGAAAUAACCUCGAGAAAUCGUGGCUAAUGUCCCAUAUUGUUGCGUGAGGGAGUCCUCGUGCAAUGAAAGGGUUACUUUGUAAUCGCUUAGAGAUGAGUUCGUGUCCCAUCAGCUAGUUGGCAGGGUAAAAGCCUACCAAGGCUCAGACGGGUAGCUGGUUUGAAAGAACGGUCAGCCACAGUGGCACUGAGACACGGGCCACACUCCUACGGGAGGCAGCAGUGGGGAAUAUUGGACAAUGGACGCAAGUCUGAUCCAGCGACACCGCGCGGAGGAUGAAGGUCUUCGGAUUGUAAACUCCUUUCGGAGGUGAUGAAGUCUUGGUGAACCCAAGAUUGACAGUAAUCUCAGAAGAAGUCACGGCUAACUACGUGCCAGCAGCCGCGGUAAUACGUAGGUGGCAAGCGUUACUCGGAAUUACUAGGUGUAAAGCGCGAGUAGGUGGUUCGGUAAGUUGGGAGUUAAAGCUCCGAUAAAAUCGGAGAGGUCUUCUAAUACUGCCGAACUUGAGUGUAGCAUGGGAAACUGGAAUUCACGGUGUAGCGGUGAAAUGCGUAAAUAUCGUGAGGAAUACCUAUGGCGAAGGCGAGUUUCUGGGCUACUACUGACACUGAGCAGCGAAGACGUGGGGAGCAAACAGGAUUAGAUACCCUGGUAGUCCACGUAGUAAACGAUGGUAACUAGAUAUAGGAGGUAUCGACCCCUUCUGUGUCGAAGCUAACGCAUUAAGUUACCCACCUGGGAAGUACGGCCGCAAGGUUGAAACUCAAAAGAAUUGACGGGGGCCCGCACAAGCGGUGGAGCAUGUGGUUUAAUUCGACACAACGCGAAAAACCUUACCUGGGCUUGAAGUGGCGGUUGUACCGAGAUGAAAGUCAAGGGACCCGCAAGGGAGCCGGUAGAGGUGCUGCAUGGUUGUCGUCAGCUCGUGUCGUGAGAUGUAUGGUUAAGUCCCAUAACGAGCGCAACCCUUGCCUUAUGUUGCUAACCUGGAAACAGGAGCACUCUUAAGGGACCGCUCCGGUCAACGGAGAGGAAGGUGGGAUGACGUCAAAUCAUCAUGGCCUUUAUGUCCAGGGCUACACACGUGCUACAAUGGCCAUUACAAUGGGAAACCAACCCGCAAGGGGGAGUAAACCCCAAAAAAAUGGCCCCAGUUCAGAUCGAGGGCUGAAACUCGCCCUCGUGAAGGCGGAAUCGCUAGUAAUCGCUAAUCAGCAGGUAGCGGUGAAUACGUUCCCGGGCCUUGUACACACCGCCCGUCACACCAUGGGAGCUAACGGUAACCGAACCUCGAUGUUAGAUUGAGGGAAGUUAUGGCUAGUGACUGGGGUGAAGUCGGAACAAGGUAGGCGUACGGGAACGUGCG